AUACGUAGGGAGCGAGCGUUGACCGGAAUUACUGGGCGUAAAGGGCGCGUAGGCGGCGCUUCAAGUCGGCUGUCAAAUGGGCGGGCUUAACCCUUUUUCGCAGACGAAACUGGAGAGCUUGAGAAGCAGAGAGGCAAACAGAAUUCCUGGCGUAGCGGUGAAAUGCGUAGAUAUCAGGAAGAAUACCAGUGGCGAAGGCGGUUUGCUGGCUGCAUACUGACGCUGAAGCGCGAAAGCCAGGGGAGCAAACGGGAUUAGAUACCCCGGUAGUCCUGGCAGUAAACGAUGUAUGCUGGGUGUGAGACUAGCGAUAGUUCCGUGCCGAAGUUAACGCGAUAAGCAUACCGCCUGGGGAGUACGGUCGCAAGAUUGAAACUCAAAGGAAUUGGCGGGG
rnacentral:rRNA from 1 species